rnacentral:rRNA from 1 species
ACCUCGGAUCAGGUAGGAAUACCCGCUGAACUUAAGCAUAUCAAUAAGCGGAGGAAAAGAAACCAACAGGGAUUGCCCCAGUAACGGCGAGUGAAGCGGCAACAGCUCAAAUUUGAAAUCUGGCCCCUCGGGGUCCGAGUUGUAAUUUGUAGAGGAUGCUUUUGGUGAGGUGCCGCCCGAGUUCCCUGGAACGGGACGCCACAGAGGGUGAGAGCCCCGUCUGGCUGGCCACCGAGCCUCUGUAAAGCUCCUUCGACGAGUCGAGUAGUUUGGGAAUGCUGCUCAAAAUGGGAGGUAUAUGUCUUCUAAAGCUAAAUAUUGGCCAGAGACCGAUAGCGCACAAGUAGAGUGAUCGAAAGAUGAAAAGCACCUUGAAAAGAGGGUUAAAUAGUACGUGAAAUUGUUGAAAGGGAAGCGCUUGUGACCAGACUUGGGCGCGGCGGAUCAUCCGGGGUUCUCUCCGGUGCACUUCGCCGCGUCUAGGCCAGCAUCAGUUCGUCGCGGGGGAAAAAGGCUUCGGGAACGUGGCUCCUCCGGGAGUGUUAUAGCCCGUUGCAUAAUACCCUGCGGNGGACUGAGG